GAUUAAGUUAUUAAGGGCGCACGGUGGAUGCCUUGGCACUAGAAGCCGAUGAAGGACGUUACUAACGACGAUAGCUUUGGGGAGCUGUAAGUAAGUGUGAUCC
rnacentral:rRNA from 1 species